rnacentral:tRNA from 12 species
GUCCCCGUAGCUCAGCCGGAUAGAGCAGCGGUUUCCUAAACCGGAGGUCGGAGGUUCGAAUCCUCUCGGGGACGCCA